rnacentral:snRNA from 1 species
AGCUUUGUGCAGUGGCAGUAUCGUAGCCAAUGAGGUUUAUCCGAGGCGCAAUUAUUGCUAAUUUAAAAAUAUAUAUAUAUAUAUGUAUAGUAAAAUAUAUAUAUUUUGUAUAUAUAUGUAUGUA